rnacentral:lncRNA from 1 species
CAGGAAGGGCUCUCUUUUCCCCUCCGCUCCUGCUCCAGCGGCACGAUGUGAUACACAGCAAGGAGGGGCGCCAAUAAGGCAUCUGAUAAGGUGUACUGCAGUUUGUUUACCUGCCUACUGAAAGACAUCUUGGAAGAUGCUGAAUUUUAAGUAACUGUGGCAGAUGUCCACGUUCUGGCAUUCUAGGGGCGUAUUUCAACCAGCUGAUGAAAUUACAAAGAGCAUGCAUAUGAGUCACACGGUCAGAGGACAUUGGUGUUGGGAAGAGCCACCAAACCACUUCCCAAGUGGAGGCCUCAUUCUGCACUCCCAGCAGCAAGUGAGAGUCCUGUUGCUCCAUGUGCUCUCCAGUACUUGGUGUUGUCAGUGAUUUGAAUUUUGGAACACGCUGAUGGAUUCAGUUCUUUUACCUGUGGAGGCCUGACUAUUGCAACACCAUUUGUUGAAAGGUGAUCUUUGAUCUGCUGUGUUGCCUUUGAUUCCCCACCAAAGAUCAGUGGACUGGAUUUUGGAAUUUGAGAAUUACUGAAAGACCCCCGAAGAGGUACUUUCGUAGAGGGAGACCCGCACCCAGGAAUCAGCGAGACCACGAACUUGGAUGCAAACUGCAAGAGGCUUUAUUGGAGAUACGGGUACCCGGG